CACAGGACAGGGUGGUGGCUAACGGCCACCCGGGGUGACCCGCGGGACAGUGCCACAGAGAACAGACCGCCGCUACCCUCCAGGUAGCGGUAAGGGUGAAACGGUGGGGUAAGAGCCCACCAGUCCUCGUGGUGACACGAGGAGCUAGGUAAACCCCACCCGGAGCAAGACCAGACAGCGUACGACGGUGUUAGUUCACUGGGAGGGCGGUCCGCCCGAGUGCGCGGGUAGGUUGCUAGAGGCCAUCGGCAACGAUGGUCCGAGAUGGAUGGUCGCCGACU
rnacentral:RNase_P_RNA from 13 species